rnacentral:rRNA from 1 species
AUUGAACGCUGGCGGCAUGCCUUACACAUGCAAGUCGAACGGCAGCACGGGAGCAAUCCUGGUGGCGAGUGGCGAACGGGUGAGUAAUAUAUCGGAACGUGCCCAGUCGUGGGGAUAACGUAGCGAAAGCUACGCUAAUACCGCAUACGAUCUAUGGAUGAAAGCGGGGGAUCGCAAGACCUCGCGCGAUUGGAGCGGCCGAUAUCAGAUUAGGUAGUUGGUGAGGUAAAGGCUCGCCAAGCCGACGAUCUGUAGCUGGUCUGAGAGGACGACCAGCCACACUGGGACUGAGACACGGCCCAGACUCCUACGGAGGCAGCAGUGGGGAAUUUUUGGGACAAUGGGCGCAAGCCUGAUCCAGCAAUGCCGCGUGCAGGAUGAAGCU